AAAGGGGGCCCGAAGCCAGGAGGAAGCUGUACUCCUGGUGGAAGGA
rnacentral:lncRNA from 1 species